GUUUUAUGAUCGUCACAUAUGCUUUAUACAUGGUGAAAUGCUAAAAUAUAUUGGCUAAACUUAACCAGGGGCGGAGGAGAAUGGGGUGUGUGGAGGUCCGAGCCCCAAGUGUCUGUGGGUACUUGUGUUACACAUAAGUGUUUUCAAGUGUAUUCCAUAUACAAGAGAAUGAUGUAUUGUUUGUAUUAUGUAUGAUGGACAGAAAAGUAAUAAACAUCUAGUAAACUACCACUGAGUUCAGUCGUGUGGCCCUGCUAGAUUGGCGCCCAACAAAAAAAAACCGCCGUGGAUGUGGAAUGGUACUGUGGAACAAGGACAUGUGGUAUUGUGGAAGCGUGGUAGAUCUUUGUGUUGUGGAAGCAUGGUAGUCGUGGAUCGUGGUACUGUCGAAUCGUUAAUCGUGGUACUAUGGAAUCAUGGUGACGCAUGUAUUGUGGAAGUGUGGUGUACAACAGUCGCUAGGAUCGUUUAUCUGGAGACAUAUUUCGCCGUCGGGAGAAGAACAUCAUUGGUGACGUUUUGUGGAACUCUGUUACAGUUUGAUUGUGUGAUUAGGACAAUUGCCUAGUGGUGCAUGUACCAGUAAAUGUGUUAUAGUGCUGUAUCAACUGUUGCACAGUUAAUACAGUUGCUGCACAGAGAACAGUGUGUUUGUGUGAAGUCAGAUGUCAGUAGAAUGUAGGAAACAAAGGGGUACUUGUGUUACACAUAAGACCCAACACUCUAUUACAGUGUUUUCAAGUGUAUUCUAUAUACAAGAGAAUGAUGUAUUGUUUGUAUUAUGUAUGAUGGACAGAAAAGUAAUAAACAUCUAGUAAACUA
rnacentral:misc_RNA from 1 species